GAAAUGCGAUAAGUAGUGUGAAUUGCAGAAUUCAGUGAAUUAUUGAAUCUUUGAACGCACAUUGCGCCCUUUGGUAUUCCUUAGGGCAUGCCUGUUCAAGCGUUAUUUAACCCUUCAAGCUCUGCUUGGUGUUGGGCACGCCACGCCCCCCUCUGCGGGGGUGUGCGCCUUAAAUCUAUCUAUUGGCGGCUGGUACGUUGGCUUCAAGCGCAGCAGAAACGCAAACUUAGGGACUCUAGAACAGCCCUCUACAAGCUAUCUUACUAUUUUGACCUUGGAUCAGGUAGGGAUACCUGCUGAACUUAA
rnacentral:misc_RNA from 1 species